rnacentral:rRNA from 1 species
ACUCCUACGGGAGGCAGCAGUGGGGAAUUUUGGACAAUGGGCGCAAGCCUGAUCCAGCCAUGCCGCGUGCAGGAUGAAGGCCUUCGGGUUGUAAACUGCUUUUGUACGGAACGAAAAGUCUCUUUCUAAUAAAGAGGGAUCAUGACGGUACCGUAAGAAUAAGCACCGGCUAACUACGUGCCAGCAGCCGCGGUAAUACGUAGGGUGCAAGCGUUAAUCGGAAUUACUGGGCGUAAAGCGUGCGCAGGCGGUGAUGUAAGACAGUUGUGAAAUCCCCGGGCUCAACCUGGGAACUGCAUCUGUGACUGCAUCGCUGGAGUGCGGCAGAGGGGGAUGGAAUUCCGCGUGUAGCAGUGAAAUGCGUAGAUAUGCGGAGGAACACCGAUGGCGAAGGCAAUCCCCUGGGCCUGCACUGACGCUCAUGCACGAAAGCGUGGGGAGCAAACAGGAUUAGAUACCCUGGUAGGCGU